CCUACGGGAGGCAGCAGUGAGGAAUAUUGGUCAAUGGGCGAGAGCCUGAACCAGCCAAGUCGCGUGAAGGAUGAAGGAUCUAUGGUUUGUAAACUUCUUUUAUAUGGGAAUAAAGUGAGGAACGUGUUCCUUUUUGUAUGUACCAUAUGAAUAAGCAUCGGCUAACUCCGUGCCAGCAGCCGCGGUAAUACGGAGGAUGCGAGCGUUAUCCGGAUUUAUUGGGUUUAAAGGGUGCGUAGGUGGUUAAUUAAGUCAGCGGUGAAAGUUUGUGGCUCAACCAUAAAAUUGCCGUUGAAACUGGUUGACUUGAGUAUAUGUGAGGUAGGCGGAAUGCGUGGUGUAGCGGUGAAAUGCAUAGAUAUCAUGCAGAACUCCGAUUGCGAAGGCAGCUUACUAAACUAUAACUGACACUGAAGCACGAAAGCGUGGGGAGCAAACAGGAUUAGAUACCCCUGUAGUC
rnacentral:rRNA from 1 species